rnacentral:lncRNA from 1 species
AGGAUUUAAGUGUCCAUCGGCAUGGGCCAUAUUCACCGUGCUCGUAUCGUGCCAAUAAGAUAUCGGCACGAUACAGUUUCCGUGCUGAUGAUGUUGCUCAAAACUCUCUAAUUUUUAAAUUAGUAAGUAAUUUUUUCAAUAAAGUUCAAAAGAUUUAAUAAAGAUACAUAAGAAGCAAUUAGAAUAUUUUGUGGCUAAAGAAAAUAAAGAUUUCAUGCCAUCACGUGCCGGUACAUGUGUAUUUUUGUACACGGUCCGGCAUGCACCGUGCCGUAUCGUGCCAACAAAUUUUCGGCAAGACCCCGUGCCACCGCACUUAAAUCCUUGCCUAAUAUUAUUUGAAUUUUCUUCCUUUUCAAUCAUGUAAUUGUAAUACUGAAUGGGCUUAAUCUCCUGUUGAAUAAUAUGAAGCCUUAAUCAGUUUUAGGAUUUUUAACAUGGUAUCAUAGCUAGAGGUUGUGAGUUCGAAUCUCGCCAUACUUGUGGUCUUAUUUGAUUUUUUGCUCAUUUCAUUUAAGUCCUAUUUCUUGGGCCUAUCAAAAUAUCUCGACCUAGAUGUGAUGGGGUGAUGCAAACCGAGAGGUUGCCAAAAGUGAAUUUUCAAGUUUGCUUUUGUUUAAAGGUAAAACUAGGUUCAAUUUAUCAAUUCCGAUGAACUUUAAGCAAGGAAGCAAAAAUUUCAGUAAAACAAAAAUUAAAAUCGAAUUGAAGUAAUACUAAGAUGAUGAUAAACCUUCAAUAUAUGAGAUAAUAACAACCAACUGAAAAUAUAUAUAAUAGUUCCAAAAGGUAAAUUCGGCUUUAUCGGACUUAAAGCUUUAGGUUUGGUUGUUUGGCAAAUAUGGUUGGUAAUGGUGGAAUGCUAGAUUAAAAGGGGAUAAUAGGAUGUCAUGAGAUGAGAGAUACAAAAAGUGCACCGUUCACACGAUUGCGAGGGAUCCACGAUCGAUGAGGAGGGCGGUACACUACGGGUAGAACUUCGACAACGGGGAAGAAGAAGAUGAGGUAGUGACUCGGAAGAAGAGGAGGGGUAGAAGUAGAAGCCGAUAUUGUCACGAGGAAGAAGUGACAACGAUCAAGUUGAGGAAGAAGACGAUCUCGGCGCGAGAAAGAAGCGUCGAUGAUCUCACCGGGAAGUAGAGCACCAAGGAUAAAGAUUGAGAGUAGAAUUUUCUAUUCAUCCAAAUAUAUCCCUUAAGGCUUCAAGAAUCAUGUAUUUAUAGUGUUGAAAGCCCUCUGAUAAUAAAUUAUUGUCUUUUCAUGUUCAACACAACACGGUCACCCAAGAUUCAUGCAUAGAAAACGAAGCAACUUUGGGAAUUACAAAGGUCUUUCUUUUAUUUUUUUUUUUGGGGAAUUCCAAAGGUCAUUUUGGGAUUGUUUUUUUGUUUAUGGGAGAAAAGAGUUUGGAUUAGCCAAAUCAACUAAAACCAAAUAAUUUAAGUCCGAAUCAAACACGAAUCUACAAAAUAAAAGAAAAUUGUAUUUGAAAAUAAAACGAGAUUUAUUUGCUGCAUCAUGGGGGGUGUUGGAGGUAAAUAUUAAAAACACUAUUUUUUGACAGUUUAAGUGUUUGGAGAUAAACGGUUACUCUAUAGUUUCUCAAAUUAAAGGUACCUAGUAGAACCUUCAGCAAAAAGAAAGGGUAAAGGUGCAUAGACCUUUCCAGAACUAUAGUGCAUUUUGAAACGGCAAAAAAAAAGGGUAAAGAUGCAAUAGAUCUUACCUAAACUACAGUGUAUUUUGAAAUGGUUACCUGAAUUUUUAAAAUUUUAAUUUUACUAUCUAACCUUACAUUCAUUUUAUUUUAUGAGCAAUUCUGAAAAACUACUUUUUCCAAUUCUGUUAGAAUUUAGCGA